UAUUUUUCUUCUUUUUU
rnacentral:sRNA from 1 species